UACGUAGGUGGCAAGCGUUGUCCGGAAUUAUUGGGCGUAAAGCGCGCGCAGGCGGUCCUUUAAGUCUGAUGUGAAAGCCCACGGCUCAACCGUGGAGGGUCAUUGGAAACUGGGGGACUUGAGUACAGAAGAGAAGAGUGGAAUUCCACGUGUAGCGGUGAAAUGCGUAGAGAUGUGGAGGAACACCAGUGGCGAAGGCGACUCUUUGGUCUGUAACUGACGCUGAGGCGCGAAAGUGUGGGGAUCAAACAGG
rnacentral:rRNA from 1 species